GAUUAUCUUUAAUCUCAGUUUAGCUUUUAUUUUUUUUUUUCAGUUCUAAGAAUUAAAAAAAGAUAAGGAGUAAAUUAAAUUGAGAUUCAAAUUAAUCUAUAUUGGUAGUCAUGGAGUCGUAAGAAAGCGUGAUGUUAGCCAAAUAUGCGUUAUUCGCGUGGGCGUGAUACUUCAAUAUUCAUUUCGCCUAACCGCGAAAUGUCAUUGCCGCUCAUUCUCACUGUUUUCUACAAAUAUUUGUUGAAGAAAUAAGAUGGAGUGGCACGGAUGAUAGCGUUUGAAAGAACGAGGAAUGAAUAAUACUGACGCACUCCGCGAUAUUUUAUCAGGUGAGUCGAAUGAAGGUUUCCGGAGCAAUGAUGUGAUCGUAGUCAACGCGAUACGUUUUAGGACGCCAGUCGAUCUGCUUAUCCUUAUACGUCGCCGGCGGCAUCGUAAUCGCGACUAUAAUUUGCACCUGUUGCUGCACUCUAAUCGUGAGACACAAGUGUGCGAGGCUCAUUGAUAAGAUUACGGGAAGGCGAAAGAAAGAGUUAGUACGAAAACGUCCGUUGCACGACGGAAUUUUUCUCUCGACCGUAAUUUGAUAGAAUGUGGCGAAGAGAGAGAGUGAGCAAUCUGCGAAAUAUUUGUUGUUUAGAAAGCAUUUCUCUCGCGACAUCGAGGAGGGACGAACGAAAUUGCGGAAAAAGAAGAAGAGACUCCCGCCGCCGGACUUGCCGCAAACCGCGGUGACGGAUGUCACCGCGCCGAUUAUUACCCCCAGGGAACUGGAAAGAUUGGAGGAGAGGGAGUCUCCGACUCCCUGUUACAAGUGUUAUAGAAAAAAGAAAAAGGGACGGAGAGCAAAGAGGCAGACACGAUAGGAUCGAGAAGAGCGUAAGGUGGACGAGGAGGUUCCAUGCCUACGUCACCUAUUGCAUUGGAACAGCUAUCCCGCGGAGGGCCGCGGAAAGACGCACGCGGCGAUUGUACAUCGACUUCGACAGUUAAACCGCAA